rnacentral:rRNA from 1 species
GUUUACGGCCAUGCCACCCUGAACACGCCUGAUCUCGUCUGAUCUUGGAAGCUAAGUAGGGUCGGGCCUGAUUAGUACUUGGAUGGGAGACCACCUAGAAAUACCAGGUGCUGUAGGCA